rnacentral:tRNA from 1 species
UCCCCUGUAGCUCAACGGCAGAGCGGUUCGCUGUUAACGAAAAGGUUGUAGGUUCGAAUCCUACCGGGGGAG